AGGGUUUGAUCCUGGCUCAGAUUGAACGCUGGCGGAAUGCUUUACACAUGCAAGUCGAACGAUGAAGCCUAGCUUGCUAGGUGAAUUAGUGGCGGACGGGUGAGUAAUAUAUCGGAACGUGUCCAUUAAUGGGGGAUAACUAAUCGAAAGGUUAGCUAAUACCGCAUACGCCCUGAGGGGGAAAGCUGGGGAUCUUCGGACCUAGCGUUAAUGGAGCGGCCGAUACCUGAUUAGCUAGUUGGUGGGGUAAAAGUCUACCAAGGCAACGAUCAGUAGCUGGUCUGAGAGGACGACCAGCCACACUGGGACUGAGACACGGCCCAGACUCCUACGGGAGGCAGCAGUGGGGAAUUUUGGACAAUGGGGGCAACCCUGAUCCAGCCAUUCCGCGUGAGUGAAGAAGGCCUUCGGGUUGUAAAGCUCUUUCGCAAGGGAAGAAACGAUAUAGGUUAAUAGCUUAUGUUAAUGACGGUACCUUGACAAGAAGCACCGGCUAACUACGUGCCAGCAGCCGCGGUAAUACGUAGGGUGCAAGCGUUAAUCGGAAUUACUGGGCGUAAAGCGUGCGCAGGCUGUUUUGUAAGUCAGAUGUGAAAUCCCCGAGCUCAACUUGGGAACUGCGUUUGAAACUACAAGACUAGAAUAGGUCAGAGGGGGGUAGAAUUCCAUGUGUAGCAGUGAAAUGCGUAGAG
rnacentral:rRNA from 1 species